AACGAACGCUGGCGGCGUGCCUAACACAUGCAAGUCGCGCGAGAAAGUUCCUUCGGGAGCGAGUAAAGCGGCGCACGGGUGAGUAACACGUAGGUAACCUGCCCCCCAGUCUGGAACAACUAGAGGAAACUCUAGCUAAUGCCGGAUGAGACCACGAUCCCUUCGGGGGGUUGCGGCCAAAGAUGGCCUCUACUUGUAAGCUAUCGCUGAGGGAUGGGCCUGCGGGCCAUUAGCUUGUUGGUGAGGUAACGGCUCACCAAGGCUGUGAUGGCUAGCUGGUCUGAGAGGAUGACCAGCCACACUGGGACUGAGACACGGCCCAGACUCCUACGGGAGGCAGCAGUGGGGAAUAUUGCGCAAUGGGCGAAAGCCUGACGCAGCGACGCCGCGUGGGUGAUGAAGGCCU
rnacentral:rRNA from 1 species